rnacentral:rRNA from 1 species
UACGUAGGUGGCAAGCGUUGUCCGGAUUUACUGGGCGUAAAGAGCGCGCAGGCGGUCGGAUAAGUCGAAUGUGAAAGCCCCCGGCUCAACUGGGGAGGGUCAUUCGAUACUGUUCGACUCGAAGGCAGGAGAGGGAAGUGGAAUUCCCGGUGUAGUGGUGAAAUGCGUAGAGAUCGGGAGGAACACCCGUGGCGAAGGCAGCCCCCUGGGCCAAAACUGACGCUCAGGCACGAAAGCGUGGGGAGCAAACAGG